GUGCCUGGAGUUAGCCGCACCUGAAGCUAGUGCCGACUACGGGAGUUUCUAUUGACCUGAGCCACUAAACUCCCCCACUUGACUGAAACAAAUUAGGGUUAAUUUUCUGAGAGCAGCCACCGAGAAUCCUGCAAGUAGGGCUUUGAGGCCUCCCCUCUCCAUCUUGCCCUGAACCCCUCUCCAGCCCUGGUCUCUCCAGCAACACGUAGAACAGAGCGAGCACUCCCUCAUCCUGCUUCUGCUGACACAGACUCUGAGCACACUACCGUUUUGGCAGGAAAGCCGCUACGCGUUCUCCCCGCUUGUACUGCUCACAUGGGCCUUGGCCAGCACUCAGCUACACCACAGAAGGAACCAAGCGGUUCUUUAGAACAAAGUCACUACAUACAGGUCAGUUGAAGAAUCUCGUGACCAAAGCCAGCGAGGGGCGUGAUGCUAUAAAAGCUGGAGUCGAGUAUGCAGACAGCACGUUCACUGAGGACCUACUAUGUGCCCGGCAAUCCAGAGGCUCAUGGUGACUUCACUUUGCAGCCAUAGGCCAAGGCCACCCCAAGGACAGAGAGGAGAAGACCCCAAGCCUUGGCAUAAAGGAUAUAUAUCCUCACGAACACGAUGGGCUGGUAAACAUUUUGGUCUUUGCCAGUCUGGUCAGUUAAAACUGAUUUCUGAUCCAUUUGGGAUUUGUUCUGACGUUAGGAGGAGAGAGAUCCAAUUUCCUUUCUUUGAGACGGAUACCGCGUCAUCCCAGCCCCGGUUACUGAGUGAUCCAUCUAUGUUCCACUGACACACAAUGACACCUUUCUCAUACACUAAAUUUCCAGUUCUAUUGAGGUCCCAUUUCUGUGCCCCUCAUCUGUUCCACACCACUUAGAUUCCUACAGCUUCAGAAUGUGCUUUAAAAUCUGAUCUGGGGGGUACCUGGGUGGCUCAGUCGGUUAAGCGUCCAACUCUUGAUCUCAGCUCAGGUCUUGAUCUCAGGGUCGUGAGUUCAAGCCCCGUGCUGGACUCCGUGUUGGGCGUGAAGCC